rnacentral:tRNA from 1 species
GGUCCUGUUGCGCAAUGGAUAAGGCGUCAGACUUCGAAUCAGGAGAUGCCUGAUUCGAGUCCUGGCAGGAUCG